UACGAAGGGGGCUAGCGUUGUCGAAUUACUGGGCGUAAAGCGCACGUAGGCGGAUACUUAAGUCAGGGGUGAAAUCCCGGGGCUCAACCCCGGAACUGCCUUUGAUACUGGGUAUCUCGAGUCCGGAAGAGGUGAGUGGAAUUCCGAGUGUAGAGGUGAAAUUCGUAGAUAUUCGGAGGAACACCAGUGGCGAAGGCGGCUCACUGGUCCGGUACUGACGCUGAGGUGCGAAAGCGUGGGGAGCAAACAGG
rnacentral:rRNA from 1 species